CUGCAGAGAAGGUGAGAGAUAAACAAAAAUAACUGCAAGAUCUUGAAGCUACCCACAAGGAGUUAAUGGAAUUGAGUUCAAAUCGUUUGGAGGAAAUUAGGAGACUGCACAAAGAGAGAAUCGAAACUUUGAACAAGUUAGCUACAUUUCAGAAUAUACUGACAGAUUUCAAAAGCAUCUAUUCUUCCAAAGCUUUUCAGCUUGUUAAUGACCAACUUCAGAAGUCUCAAGCAGAGUUGGAUGAUCACAAAUCAUUGUUAGAAAAAUUACAGGUGGUUACUGGUUGAUAUGGAUAGCUUUGUUUGGCAAGAAAGGCAAUUUAAUAAAAAAAAUUGAUCUGGCUGAAAUACCCAAGAUGGUUUUUGCAUACUAUGUUUCUAGGAUUGCUGAUCUUGAGAAGGAUGUCCAGAAACUAUGUAAUGAAAAGAAUAUCCUGGUGCUGAAAUUUGAAGAGGCUUCGAGAG